CCUCUUUGGUAUCUUCUGGUGAGCUCAACCCAAGGGUAAGCUCUUCCACUUAUUCUCUUUUGUGAUCGUUGUCUGCUCUGCCUUACUCUCAUUGAUUGUAUUGCGAUUGUAACAUCUUGAUUAUACAAAAUUAUAACAUCUUGGUUAUACACUAGGAAUGUCUGAGAGAU